rnacentral:rRNA from 1 species
CAGUAGCCACGGUAAUACGUAGGUGGCAAGCGUUGUCCGGAAUUAUUGGGCGUAAAGGGCUCGCAGGCGGUUUCUUAAGUCUGAUGUGAAAGCCCCCGGCUCAACCGGGGAGGGUCAUUGGAAACUGGGAAACUUGAGUGCAGAAGAGGAGAGUGGAAUUCCACGUGUAGCGGUGAAAUGCGUAGAGAUGUGGAGGAACACCAGUGGCGGAGGCGACUCUCUGGUCUGCAACUGACGCUUAGGAGCGAAAGCGUGGGGAGCGAACAGGAUUAGAUACCCCGGUAGUCCCUGUCUCUUAUAC